rnacentral:rRNA from 1 species
GACGAACGCUGGCGGCGUGCUUAACACAUGCAAGUCGAACGAUGAAGCCGGAGCUUGCUCUGGUGAAUUAGUGGCGAACGGGUGAGUAACACGUGAGUAACCUGCCCUUGACUCUGGGAUAACUGCGGGAAACUGUAGCUAAUACCGGAUACGACCCUCGGAGGCAUCUCCUGGGGGUGGAAAGAAUUUCGGUCAAGGAUGGACUCGCGGCCUAUCAGCUAGUUGGUGAGGUAAAGGCUCACCAAGGCGACGACGGGUAGCCGGCCUGAGAGGGUGACAGGCCACACUGGGACUGAGACACGGCCCAGACUCCUACGGGAGGCAGCAGUGGGGAAUAUUGCACAAUGGGCGCAAGCCUGAUGCAGCAACGCCGCGUGUGGGAUGACGGCCUUCGGGUUGUAAACCUCUUUUAGCAGGGAAGUAGCGAAAGUGACGGUACCUGCAGAAAAAGCACCGGCUAACUACGUGCCAGCCGCCGCCGUAAUAC